rnacentral:rRNA from 1 species
AGCGAACGCUGGCGGCAGGCCUAACACAUGCAAGUCGAACGAAAUCUUCGGGUUUAGUGGCGGACGGGUGCGUAACACGUGGGAACGUGCCUUUAGGUUCGGAAUAACUCAGGGAAACUUGAGCUAAUACCGGAUGUGCCCUUCGGGGGAAAGAUUUAUCGCCUUUGGAGCGGCCCGCGUCUGAUUAGCUAGUUGGUGAGGUAAAGGCCCACCAAGGCGACGAUCCGUAGCUGGUCUGAGAGGAUGAUCAGCCACAUUGGGACUGAGACACGGCCCAGACUCCUACGGGAGGCAGCAGUGGGGAAUCUUGCGCAAUGGGCGAAAGCCUGACGCAGCCAUGCCGCGUGAAUGAUGAAGGUCUUAGGAUUGUAAAAUUCUUUUACCGGGGAUGAUAAUGACGGUACCCGGAGAAUAAGCCCCGGCUAACUUCGUG